rnacentral:rRNA from 1 species
CAGUCGCCACGGGAAAACGGAGGGAGCUAGCGUUGUUCGGAAUUACUGGGCGUAAAGCGCGCGUAGGCGGUUACUCAAGUCAGAGGUGAAAGCCCGGGGCUCAACCCCGGAACUGCCUUUGAUACUGGGGAUCUUGAGUCCGGAAGAGGUGAGUGGAACUGCGAGUGUAGAGGUGAAAUUCGUAGAUAUUCGCAAGAACACCGGUGGCGAAGGCGGCUCACUGGUCCGGAACUGACGCUGAGGCACGACAGCGUGGGGAGCAAACAGGAUUAGAUACCCGAGUAGUCCCUGUCUCUUAUAC